AGUUCCCCUGCUUCUUCAGCUGGCUGUCAGUGCUUGCCAUGUCUCGGCCCGGGCAUGAGCUGAGUGGGACCCUGUCUUAUCGGACUGAGCCCAGGAAAAGCCCCCGUCUCAGCCUCUUCCACCUGAAGCUGACAGACACUGCUCUCCGCUGCCUGCAGGACUUCCAGAAAGGACAGGGUUCAGGAGCCUCAUUGCCACAGCCUGUUAUUACCUUCCAGGAAAACCAGGGGUACAUCAAGAUUCCUUCUCCCAUCUCUGGUUCAGAUGACAGAGUUCGGGUCUUUGCCUUCUACCUCUCUAGAGAGAUUAAAGAUAAACCUCAGUCAAGUUUCGAGUGCAUUAGACAGGGCACCUCAUGGACUGGAGAGAAACAGCUGACUUGCAUUGGCACUAUACAGGAUAAAAUCACCGUUUGUGCUACUGAUGAAUCCUACCAGUUAACACGUGACCGCAUGUCUCAGGUAGAGAAGGAAACAUGGAGCAGGACUGCCAUUGAGAUCAAGCCUGAAGCAUCGCACCGAAGUAAAUGUGUAAAGAUGCCCUGUAAGCACAAUAUGGAGUCCGGCACAGAGAGUUCCUCACCCAGUCAACGUCCUCCAGUAUUCUUAACACCAGCAGCCAAGAAAUGCAACAGAGUGAGUGGAGAGCGAAGACCACUUCAAGAGUGGCUUAUCCAUCUUCUAGCCUUAAAGCCGUGCCGAAAACAUGACCUCAUACAGCGCUUAGAAAAAUCCAACAUGUUUCCCAGAGAUCACACAGAGCUACUAUGUGCACUGGAUGAGGUAGGAUGCUUAAGUCCAAAAGAUGGCAAGUACUGCCUGAAGGAGGAGCACUACAGCCAGGUACAGAGGGACUGGAUGGGAUACACCCCCGAGGAAAGGCAGCGCAUUUCAAAUAGUUUUACAAGGAAACAUCCAAGCAAUUCUUCAUCACAGAAUUACCAGGCAACUGUUGAGAGAGAGAGAACACACUACGGCCUGUUAUCUACUCAUCCCAAUGGCCGGCAUAGACCACCUGAUCCUAAACGCCAGACAGAAGGAGAUAUCCCAGAAAACAAGAACCACAAAAGAAAAAAAUUCUCACAACUGGACAGUCAUUUACCUGAACAGCACUCCACGUCCCUAUCCUCUUCACACUCAUCAACAGCGAAACACCAUCCAAGUCCAGAAAGUAGGAAAAGCGCGGGGUCAAUGCCUGAAAAACACAGUGUUGUUUCUCAUCUAAGUCACAAAAAACAAAAAACACAUCGAACAUUGCAAAAAAGUCAUCAUAGUGAAACAAACAAAAGGACAAAGCCUUGUGAGGAGUCACAAAAUGAGAAAGCUAGAUUUAGGCAGGAGACAAGUCCUGUAUCUCAUUUGGGUGACAGUUCUGACUGGCACAAAAGUGAGAAGAGAGAUUGUGAAUCCAGUGAAGAGGAAGAGGAGGAAGAUGACUGGGAAGAAGAAGCUCUCAUGUUGGAAAGAUGCCUCACAUCUCCUGAAGACCACCAUGACGACUUCUUCGAGCCAAAACUUCAUCUCUGGAAGCAUCUGAAGGACAAACAUCUUUGACUCCACAUUUCUCCAGUGUCCUUCUCUCUUCUACACAAUUUCCCCAUCUAUAUGCUCAAACUGUUAUUAUUACCCCUUUGUUGUCAAACACAGUGUAAGGGCAGGUAGGUAGCUAACUAGGUAGUUAUGUACGAAGGUAGUUAGCUAGGUAGCCAUGUAUGGAUGUAGGUAGCUAGCUAGGUGGGCAGGUAUCUAGGUAAGUAUUUAGCUAGCUAGGUAGAUAGGUAGCCAGGAAUGUAGGUAGGUAGCUAGGUGAGUAGCCAAGUAUGUAGCUACGUAGGUUGGUAGGUAGCCAGGUAAUUAGGUAGCCAGCUGUAGCAAGGCAGGUAGAUUGGUAGCCAGGUAUGUAGAUUGGUAGCCAGGUAGCUAGGUAGUUAAGAAUGUAGGUAGUUAGGUAGGUCACCAUGUGGGUAGUUAUGUAACCAGGUAUGUAGGUAGAUAGAGAGGUAGCAAGACAUUAGGUGGGUACUUAGGUAGCCAAAAUGUAGCCAGGCAUGUAGUUAGGUAGAUAGAUGUAGCCAGACAUGCAGUUAGUUAGUUAGGUAAUUAGGUAGCCAGAUGUAGCCAGGCAUGUAGUUAGGUAGAUAGUUAGGUAGGUAGUUAGGUAGCCAGAUGUAGCCAGGCAUGUAGAUAGGUAGGUAGUUAGGUAGCCAGAUGUAGCCAGGCAUGCAGUUAGGUAGUCAGGUAUGUAGGUAGGAAGGUAGAUAGGUAGCCAAGCAUGUAGUUAGGUAGCUAGGCAGGUAGUUAGGUAGCUAGACAUGUAGUUAGAUAGCUAGGUAGGAAGCUAGAUAGACACUCCUUCCAGGUAAAAAAAGUGAAAAAACUAAACCAUAGACUCACCUAUCCAAAGCAGCGUCCUUUUCCCUCCACAGUGCAGGCACCAAUGAGUAUUGUCAUCGCACCUGUGGUUCGUGGAGGCAGAGGUUGUGUCUUCUGUCAGUGUAAGCCGCAAGCGAGCAUCUUAACACUGACAGGCUGCUUUCACUUGUAUGCACGUGAGCGCAUACAGAUAAAAGCGGCACCAGACCUGGGGCUGUGUGGGCCAAACCUGGGCUCCAGCCCCCAUAGCCCCCCUGGCAAUGCCAAGAGUCGAGGGCCAAUUAUGGAGAGCUGUAAAAAGACCUGGAUUUAACUGUUACUGUUGUCUCACAGAAUUUGAGUGAGAAAAAUGGUGACAUGUUCAAUACUUCACCCACUGUACCAUUAUUCUGAGAACCCAGUUGCCAGUAGGCCAUCAUUUAUAGCCCCCAACAUUACUUCAUAAUAUUAUUGUGAGGAGACAAAUGCCAGCAUGCCAUUAUAAAUAGACCCCAAAAAUGACAGGUUACCUGUAUGAAAUCCCAAAUCUCAGUGUGCGUUAUUUUGAGAGCUCAUUAUUUUUUUAUAUUCUGUUCAUGCAUUUUCUUUCCACCGUUUCUCUGUUAUGCACGCUAUAAUGUGAAUAAUGCAAGCAUGUAUAAAGUGGGGGAAGUUUACCAUGUAAACAUAAAAAAUGUUCCUGUACGACAUGGUUCGGCUAAUCUGUGUCUGCUUUCAGGUGAGUCACUCGGAUUGAUUGAGUUACCUCUGACUCAUCUCUGGUUAGGCAUGAAUAUCAAACAGACGGACAAUACAAGGAGUCUUUCUAUAGAGUCCAUAACUAAAUGGUGAAAUGACGCACAUUGUUACAUAGCUGCUACAAAAUACACACACGACAAUGAUAAUGGGUUCCCUAGCCAUACUAAAUGACACUAUGGGUUUGCAGAAUUCACAUGAUUUGACUAUGAAUUUACUGUAUGAGCUUUAGACAUUAUAGUCAGGAUUGAAAAAACUGUCAGCCAUAAAGAGUGUACAACCAGGUCUUUCACAUUUCAUGUCAAAAGGGUAUCACUGGCCUUGGUGGUCCGGACACCCCUGAUUCCACACUUGUGUAUUGUGCCACAAUAACUUGUUGACUGGACAAGGUUAUAAAGGCAAAUGACAGUGUUAUUUGGAAGCCUUAUGGUAGUGUUAUUUAAGCACUGACUGAUUGUACUAUUUGGGCACAAGGAGGGCAUUAACAAAUAUCACACAGCACCGUAAACAGUCUAAUGCCAGUCAUGAUCACAUAGUUUCCUUAACAACAACUUGAGUAGAUAAUGUAGACUUGUCUGUGACUGGUAUGGUAUAGCAAUUCAAAUAGAAGAGACAGUUCCCAAAACAUUUUUUGUUGAAAGGGGUUAUCCAAAAACAUAGUUGCUUUUUUUUUUCUAAACACAGCACCACACCUGUCCUCAGGUUAUGUGUGGUAUUACAACUCUAUUCACUUUUAUGGGACUGGGCUGCAAGAGCCAUACACCCUUAGGAUAGUUUAGCACUGUUUUUUUAUUUUUUUUGGAAGAAAGCUAUUUUUUUUUCUUAAUCCCAAAUACCCCAAUGAUAAUUCAUUGUUUUAUUCCAGUUCUCCUUCUUCAUGCUUUAUGCUUCAGCCUCAGACUACGGGCUGCACUCUACAAUAGUCUAUAUUAGUGACUGGGCAUCCAACUACAGAUAUAAAGUCUGGAUAUCAGUAAUAGUCACAUGGGUCAUUUUCAGUAACACAACAUGUGUUGGGGAAUUGCUACAUUAGCAAUUCACUAAUAUAACUGUAACCCUAUAGGUAAAGACAAAUACAUGUAUACAUAGGUAUAUAGACAGGUGCAUGUUUAAUGUUCCCCCACCUGACCCUGUACAGGAGCUUGGACAUCUGUCUCCUGUAUUCUUUACUUGUGUACUUAGUAAUAACACCAAUUCCUCACAGAGUCACAAUAACAAAGCAAUGUAUUAGAAAAUGAAAGUGUUGUGUGAAGGACGGGUAAAUACAAACUAUUCGUAUACCCACACAUGCCUUAGGCAAACACACAACAUCGGUACAUGCAUCCAGUCCAGCCUGUGUGGUUACAUUUUAAAAUGGCAAAUUGAAGCUUGAAAAGAUCUAUAAAAGGCAUCGACCCCAGCCUGCCGUGAGCUCUGCUUUUGUGACUGCAAAUGAGGUACGGACCUGGGCCGCAUACCUGUACCAAAGCAAAUAUGAGCUGAUGGUUGCUUCACAGUGUCUUAAAGGCGUCAUCCAACGGUGAUCAGACAUUAGGGAUGAAGAAAUUAACCCUUUACCAGUGGAGAAGAAGCAUUUUAAAGGCAUGGAGGAAAACACAGAAUCAUUAAUCGGUCUAGAUUCGGAGGAGACCUACAAGAAAAGGCCUCAUAGUGUACUUAAGUUAUAAGGACUUACACUUCUGGCUGUUGUGCUGUGGUAAUGACAAUUAAAUUAUUAUCAUCAUUGACCACACGUACACAUAACACUACCAGAAGUCAAGUCAUUUAGGAUGUAAAGCUUGAUAUGGAUGGCCAUUUGGAGCCACACAAUGUAUCUGUCACAACAAGAAAGCUUAUAUGAGAUCUACACAGCAUAGCAUAAGUUUCACAACCUUUUUUUGGUGCACUAUACCUCAGUAUUCCUGCAGUGUCAUCCAUUUCAUCCCAUCUCCCCUGCAUCCAUGCAUUUCAUAACUGCAGCUGGGUUAUGUGGCCACCUGCAAAUAAAAUGCUCAAAAAUGUAGACAGGAUAGCAGUCUCUCCUGGGUUCCUGUGAACUACAUGAUGACAUAAUCAUCUAUCAGAUCCUUUCUGUCAACUCAGACAACUCCCCACCAAGCUAUUUUUGCAUGUCUCCCCAUGCACAGGUUGCUGCUGAAGAGAUCACUGCUGCUCCAACUAUAGAGACCAGGAAAGCAGUGA